UUUCACCCGACUCACCUGGGCCUGGUCUCCUCUCCUUGACUUCACAGCUGUGGAGGGCCCUGCUGGGACCAUGGUCCACGCCAGCGCCUGGACAAGAGGGCUCCUCUGCCCUGUGCCUGCCGCCUGGGCUGCACUGACAUCAGUGCUGCUCGCUCUUCAGUGUUGCUGCCCGAGUUCCUCCAGGCUGGCGCCCGCCUGGCUUCCAGAUGAAGCAGCCAAAGAGGGCGCCCCAGAGGGUGGUGGGCCCAGCUGAGGGGAGGCAGUGUUGUCUUCUGACCUGUGGUUGGGAAGGCAGGCCGGAGGAGAUGGGGGCAGUGCUGAGGGCAGGCACCCGCGAGGGCAGAGCUCGCCUACAGCCUUAGGAGAACUCUGCAAAGAGCAGAGUGUGGCACGGGCUGGCCUGGGGGACAGGUCAGCAUGGGGAGGGGCACACGUGCCGUUCAUACCAAGUGACGCGAGUUCUGAGCUCAAACAUGUGGCUCUGGGCAUCAUGCUGAGAAGAGGCUGCACGGGGUGGCCAGGAAGUAGGGGUUAGUCAAGGGGUCAGGAGAGAGCCGAUGGUGGCCUGACCAGAGUGGCUGCAAGAGAACUGUUGAGAAGGGUCCCCAGGGCUCAUCUAUGAUAAGGUCCCCAGGUUCAUCCCUGUUGAGAAGUGUCCCCAGGGCUCACCCCUGUUGUACAGUGUGUCCGAAUUUCCUUUCUGUUGAAGGCUGAACACUCCACCAUGUGGAUGAACUGCAUUUUGUCUACCCACCCCAUGUCACUGGGCACUUGGGUGGCCUCUUGCUGUCCCUGCUGUGGACAGCUCUGCUGUGAACAUGAGUAUGCACACCAUCCAGGGUCCUGCUGUCGUCUUUGGGUGUAUACCAAGUGGGGUUUCUGGGUCGUGUGGUGAUUCUGUCUGAUUUUGGGGGUGUUCCAUAGUAUUUUCCACAGCAGUUUCACCAUUUUAUAUUCCAUCAACAGAGCCCCGAGUUCUGCGGUUCUCUGCCUCCUGGCCCCAGGUGCCCUUUGUUAACAGUGGCUUCCUAAUGGAUUCCGGGUGCUAUUUCAUUGUGGUUUGGUUUUCAUUUAUCUGGUGAUUACUGAUGUGAGCAUCUUCUCAUAUACUUGUUAGACGUUUGGAUAUUUUCUUUAGAGAAACAUCUAUUCAAAUCUUUUGCCUAUUUUAAACUGGGUUUUAUUGUUAAAUUGUAGGAGUUCUUUAUAUAUUUUGCAUACUAACCCUUUAUCAGAUAAAAGAUUCGUAAAUAUUCUCAUAUUCUAUAAACUUUGCUGGUCCUUUCAUACACAGAGGUUUUCAGUUUCAAGUGAGACACACUUGUCUACUCUCAGUUUGAUUCCUCUUCUUUUGGUCUGAUGACUAAGAAAUCAUGACCCCAUCCUUUGUUUUAAAGCUGCCCUAUAUUUUCUUCUGAGAGUUUUGUAGUUUUAGAUCUUAUGUGGAGAUCGUGGAUCUAUUUUGAGUUAACUGUAUUAGAAUAAGCGAGGGGUCCAACUUCAUUCUUUUGCACGUGGAUGUCCAGGUUUCCCAACACCAUUUGUGAAAAGAUGGCCUUCUGCCAUCAGUGACCUCAGAUGGCCUUCUGCCAUCAGUGACCUCGGAUGGCCCUCUCCCCAUCAGGGACCUUCACAUCCUGUUUGAAAACCCUGUGGCUGGGUGUGUGAGGCCCUAUUUCUGGGCUCCCUUCGGCUCCCUUGCCCUUCCACCUCCCUGUAAUGACAGUGACAUGCCUCUUGCCAGUUUGGACGAGCAUAGCUCUGGGGUCGGUUAUGAAAUCAGGAAGUGAGACCUCCAAACUCGCUCUAUUUGAGAUGCUCUGACUCUUCAAGGUUCUUGAGAUUCCACAUGAAUUUCUCAGUGGAUUUCCCUAUUUCUACAAGAAUCUCCUUUGGGAUUUUGGUGAGGAUGGCUUUUUGUCUGUAGAUUGCUCUGAGUGGUGCUUGAUUUUUGAUUAUUCAACUCCUUUAUGUUUCAGAUUUUCUCCGGUUUUGUAUUUCUUUUUGAAUCACAUUUAGUUAUCUGUGUCUAUCUAGGAACUUGCCUAUUUUAUCUUUAUUAGCUACAGUUUUUGCACACCGUUGCCCUAGUGUUCCCUUAAGAUCCUCUAUUGUUGUAAGGUCAGUGGUGAUACCCACUCGUUCUUGCUGAUCUUGGCAGUAUGUGCUCCAUCUGGCUUUUUUCUUGCUCACCAAUAGCCACAGUAUGUGGAUUUUGAUGAAUUUUCAAGAACUCUGCUCUGCAGUUUCACAGUGCAGCCUGUUGCAUGUAGAUCUGUGGUUUUGAGUCUGUUUUCUGAAAGGUGCGACCUCCAUGUCCAGACUUGCUUUCUUUCUGGGUGUGGAUGUCCAGCUACUCCAGCACCACACCUAGCUCCUCUGCAAGGUCUGGUGGACUGUGUCCCUGGGUGUUGAUUUCUGGGCUCUCCGUUCUGCUCCAUUGGUCUGUUUGUGUCCCCGCAUCGCUGUGGCUUCAGGGCAAGUGUGGAAGGCGGGUGGCACCAGCCCUCACACUGGGUUCUCCUUCAGUGCUGGGCUGGCUCUUCUCCACCUUCCUCCUCUCUGUACACAUUGGGAAUCAGUUUGUCAAUAUCCAUGAAAUAAGUUGCUGGGAUUCCAUUGGAAUUCCUUGAAUCCACAGAUGGAGUUGUGAAGAUCUGCUGCCUUGACAGUGUCGGGUAUUGUAGCCACAAACGCAGAGUAAAUCUCCAUUUAUUUACUAGAAUUUAUAAUUUUCCUUGUACAAAUUUUGUACCUAAUUUUUUUAGAUGGGCACAAAGUAUUUCACUUUUUUUAAGGUGCUAAUGUUGUAAUGUUACCGCUGUUUACCGGUGAGGAGCCCUCGCUUCCCUGAAUGCUGAAGUAUAACACCAGAGAAGCAGGCCGAGGCCAGAGGAGAGUGGACAGUGGAAGCUUUAUUAAAGGACAGCAGAGAAGACUUCUCCCCGGAGGAAGAAGAGGACCCAGAAGGCGGAAUCCUUGGAUGGGGGAGGUCUUCCCUUUUUUAUAGCUAAGGUCUUCUUUUAUUCCUCCCACACUCCUGUCCUCUGUUUCCCUCUGUCCCGCAGUGACAGCAUGCAAGUGAGAAGGCCCAAAGGCGGGGGACAGGUGGGCUGGAGGCGUAAUCUGGGCAGGAAGGGCCUGGGGCGGUCCCAUUAGCACCUCCCUGUUUGCUGGGCGCUGUUUCACUAACAGUUCCUUAGGAUGGGCUCUGGGCCUUGGGGACAUUAACAUUCCAAUUUCCCCAAGUGCUGAUCUGGUUUCCUGGACUCCAUUCUCCAUAAUGGUCUCCAUUUUCUUUAUCUUACUCGAUAUUAGACCCCAUUUACCUGACUACACUAACUCUCUAUCUGCAAAUCUGGCUUCAGUAAGUGGUCUCAUGUUUUAAUUUCAGAUUCCCCCUUGUUUGUGGCUGGUAAGUUGGAAAGUGAUGCCUUUGGUAUAUCACCCUUGGAUUGUGCAACUCUGUUGCCAUCAUUCAUUAGUUACUUUGUUUUUUUAAUUUGCUCCUUCAGAUUUUCUCCAUAGAUGAACAUGUUUUCUGCAAAGAGUUCAAUUUCUUCCUUCCUACUCUAUGUACCUUUUAUUUAUUUUCUUGUCUUAUCAUAUAAGCUAGAAUUUUUGCAAAGAAGUAGUGAGAGGAAACAUUCUCUCUUUUUUUUUUCCUGACCAUGUGGGAAAAUUCAAGUUCUCACCUCUACAUGUGGGUAUAGCUAUAGCUUUGUAGCAGAUCUUUAUUGAGAGAUUUUCCUUCCAUUUCUAGAAUGCUGGGAGUUCUUGUCAUGAAGGGUGUUGGAUUUUGUCAUAUGUUUUUUCUGCCAUAUACCAAUAUGACCACGUGGUUUUUAUUUUUUA
rnacentral:lncRNA from 1 species